GUCAGUCUUUGCUUGACAUGCUUUCCUCCCUUCAUUUUCCCAUAACCUCUGAUGCUACCUCCCUUACAGCCUCAAGAAACUGGGUCCCAUGACAUUUUUCUUUAGCCUCAUUUGCCCCCACUGAAAAGCAUUUACUCCUAUACACCCCCCAUCUCCCCUCUCCCCUAUGAAGAGGAUAUUUAAAUGUCAACCAUCUAGCCCCUUCUUUGAAUUUUCAUAUUUUGUCUCAUUCCUGUGUUCCUAGGCAGAUUAAUAAAUGUGUGUGCCCUUUUCUCUUUUUAAUCUGUCUAUUAGCAGUUUUUUACAGGCUUAAAUUAUCAAGCCUUCAGGGGAAAAUAUUGACUCCCUAGAGUUUUGGCUCUGUAAGUAGGAUAACAAAUCAUUCUCUUCAUUGUGGAGCCUAUGAAGGUGAUCUUGGGACAACUGAUGAACAGCUCUCCAAAAAAGAAAUGCCUCUUAUCGAAGAUUUGUUUGCCUGCAUCAUAAUAGAGGCUUAGGUUUGAAAGCCCAUCUGCAAUGCCAACUCCUGGAAUGGGACACAGCUAUUUAACUGAACUGAUCUAUUCUCAGAACUAAAAGACUGAUUUAAAAAGAUAUGGGCUGCUUGUUCCAAUCUAUACCCCCCAACCCCCUUCGCUAAUCUCUUAUCUCACAAUCUCUAACCACAUCUCUCUAUUGCUAACAAUCCUACUUUAAUAUGUGAAACAUACUAAAAAUAAAGUUUCAAAUAAGGGAGGCCCUGCAGACCAGAAUUGCCCUGAGAAGCUGCCUUUUGUGGAAAAGUUUUGCAUCUCAAGAAAAACAUCUACAUUGGUGGAAUAAACUACCAUUGAUCCUUUCUAAGGCAGCUCCAAGAUUCCCUGAGCUACUUUCAUCUGCAAACAAGUCAGUCUUUGCUUGACAUGCUUUUCUCCCGUGACUCUCCUAUAACCUGUGAUGCUACCUCCCCUAUAGCCCAGAGAAAUGUGGCCCACAUCACUGUUCUUUGGCCUCAUUUACUUUCCCUAAAAAUCAUUUACUCCUACUACCCCACCCCAUUGUCCCUCUCCCCAAUGAAGAGGAUAUUUAAGUGUUAAUCAUCAAGGCCCAUCUUUGAGUUUUCAUAUUUUGUAUGAUUUCUGUGUCCAUAUGCACAUUAAUAAAUGUGUACACAUUCUUCUCUUAUUAAUCUGUCUAUUAUCAG
rnacentral:lncRNA from 10 species